CUUCAGUUGACUUGGCUGAAACAUCACUUGACAAAGAUAUGGCCUUAUGUUGAUGAGGUAACUACUUCGAUAGAUGUUGAUAUUCUCGUUGAUGCCAAGGAGACUUAUAAUUGUAGCAGAACUUAUGACGAGAUGCCGAGGAGAUAGAAGAGUACAGAGAGAAGAAAAUGAACAGCCCUGGAGAGACAUGCUCAUUGAAGAUUCGCUAAAACUUGAUUGAGGAGGGGAAGGCAACACUAAGAAUGAAACAAGAUAUGCAGAGGGACAAAUAUGUAUGACCUUAUUGGCUAUCGA